rnacentral:rRNA from 1 species
UAAGUCGGUAGUGAAAGCGUGUGGCUCAACCACAUAUACAUUAUCGAAACUGCAAAGCUAGAGGACAAGAGAGGUCACUGGAAUUCCCUGUGUAGGAGUGAAAUCCAUAGAUAUAGGGAGGAACACCGAUGGCGUAGGCAGGUGACUGGCUUGUUCCUGACGCUCAGGCACGAAAGCGUGGGUAGCAAACGGGAUUAGAUACCCCGGUAGUCCACGCCGUAAACGAUGGAUGCUA